GACGAACGCUGGCGGCGUGCCUAACACAUGCAAGUCGAACGGAGAAAUUCAGCAAUGGAUUUCUUAGUGGCGAACGGGUGAGUAAUAUAUCGGAACGUGCCCAGUAGUGGGGGAUAACUGCUCGAAAGAGCAGCUAAUACCGCAUACGACCUAAGGGUGAAAGGGGGGGAUCGCAAGACCUCUCGCUAUUGGAGCGGCCGAUAUCAGAUUAGCUAGUUGGUGGGGUAAAGGCAUACCAAGGCAACGAUCUGUAGUUGGUCUGAGAGGACGACCGGCCACACUGGGACUGGGACACGGCCCAGACUCCUACGUGAGGCAGCAGUGGGGAAUUUUGGACAAUGGGCGCAAGCCUGAUCCAGCAAUGCCGCGUGCAGGAAGAAGGCCUUCGGGUUGUAAACUGCUUUUGUCAGGGAAGAAAUCCUCUAGGUUAAUACCCUUGGGGGGAUGACGGUACCUGAAGAAUAAGCACCGGCUAACUACGUGCCAGCCGCCGCGGUAACAC
rnacentral:rRNA from 1 species